rnacentral:rRNA from 1 species
AUACGGAGGGUGCGGGCGUUAAUGGGAAUUACUGGGCGUAAAGGGUGCGUAGGCGGCUUGAUAAGUCGGAUGUGAAAGCCCCGGGCUUAACCUGGGAAUUGCAUUCGAUACUGUCAGGCUAGAGUAUGUCAGAGGUUGGCGGAAUUCCUGGUGUAGCGGUGAAAUGCGUAGAUAGCAGGAGGAACACCAGUGGCGAAGGCGGCUAACUGGGGCAAUACUGACGCUGAGGCACGAAAGCGUGGGGAGCAAACAGGAUUAGAUACCCUAGUAGUCC